rnacentral:sRNA from 1 species
UUUGUGAAAAAUCGAAAAAUCAAAAUUUUUUCGAUUUUUCGAAAAU